UAUAAAGGAUUUUGAGUUUUUGCUUGCAACGUUUGACCACUCGUCUUAUUCAAAUUUUUUUGAAAUUAUUAUUUAUUUUAUUUGUGACUUCCUUUAUUACUUUAAGCACAACUUUUUGUUUUUUAUAUUUAAAAAAAAUUGAAUAAGACGAGUGGUCAAACGUUGCAAUCAAAAACUCAAAAUCACUUAUA
rnacentral:pre_miRNA from 1 species